AGGACGAACGCUGGCGGCGUGCUUAACACAUGCAAGUCGAACGGUAAGGCCCCUUCGGGGGUACACGAGUGGCGAACGGGUGAGUAACACGUGGGUAAUCUGCCCUGCACUUCGGGAUAAGCCUGGGAAACUGGGUCUAAUACCGGAUAUGAACUCCUGCCGCAUGGUGGGGGGUUGGAAAGUUUUUCGGUGCAGGAUGAGCCCGCGGCCUAUCAGCUUGUUGGUGGGGUAAUGGCCUACCAAGGCGACGACGGGUAGCCGGCCUGAGAGGGUGAUCGGCCACACUGGGACUGAGACACGGCCCAGACUCCUACGGGAGGCAGCAGUGGGGAAUAUGCACAAUGGGCGAAAGCCUGAUGCAGCGACGCCGCGGUGGGGAAUGACGGUCUUCGGAUUCGUAAACCCCUUCAGGUAGGGACGAAGCGCAAGUGACGGUACUGCAGAAGAAGCACCGACUAACUACCGUGACCAGCACGCCGAC
rnacentral:rRNA from 1 species